UACGAGCCACACAAACGUUAUUCGGAAUUACUGGGCUUAAAGGGUGCGUAGGCGGCGCGGAAAGUUGGGUGUGACAGCCCUCGGCUCCACCGAGGAAUUGCGCCCAAAACUACCGUGCUUGAGGAAGAUAGAGGUGAGCGGAACUCAGGGUGGAGCGGUGAAAUGCGUUGAUAUCCUGAGGAACACCGGUGGCGAAAGCGGCUCACUGGAUCUUUUCUGACGCUGAGGCACGAAAGCUAGGGUAGCGAACGGG
rnacentral:rRNA from 1 species